rnacentral:rRNA from 1 species
CAUAAUAACUUGUCUUUUAAUUGAAGAAUAGAAUGAAUGGAUAGACGUGAAAUUAUCUGUCUCUUUUUUAUUAUAUUAAAAUUAAUUUUUAAGUGAAAAAGCUUAAAUUAUUAGAAAAGACAAGAAGACCCUAUCAAUUUUGAAAUAUCCUUUUUGGUAAUUAAUGAGAGUUUUUUUUGAUUGGGGCAAUCGAAAAGGAAACCGAUCCUUUUUUACUUUCAUUUUUUGUAAAAAAAAUAUCCAAACUAUUUUGAAUUAUAAAAUAAAUACUGUAGGGAUAACAGCACAAUUUUUUUUUGAAGUUCUUAUUUGAAAUAAAGUUUGUGACCUCGAUGUUGGACUAAGGUAAACUAUUAAGUGCAGGGGCUUAAGCUAGUUAGACUGUUCGUCUAUUAAAUCCUUACAU